GAUGAACGCUGGCGGCGUGCCUAAUACAUGCAAGUCGAGCGAACGGACGAGAAGCUUGCUUCUCUGAUGUUAGCGGCGGACGGGUGAGUAACACGUGGAUAACCUACCUAUAAGACUGGGAUAACUUCGGGAAACCGGAGCUAAUACCGGAUAAUAUUUUGAACCGCAUGGUUCAAAAGUGAAAGACGGUCUUGCUGUCACUUAUAGAUGGAUCCGCGCUGCAUUAGCUAGUUGGUAAGGUAACGGCUUACCAAGGCAACGAUGCAUAGCCGACCUGAGAGGGUGUCGGGCCACCCGGGAACGGAGCCCAGGUCCAGACCCCCAGGGGAGGCCGAGGUGGGGAAUCUCCGCCAAGGGGCGAAAGCCUGACGGAGCAACGCCGGGUGGGUGAAGAAGGGCUGCGGUUCGUAAAACUCUGUUUUUAGGGAAAAAAAAUUGUGUAAGUAACUGGGCCAAUCUGACCGGUACCUAAAAAGAAAGCCACGGCUAACUACGU
rnacentral:rRNA from 1 species